GACGAACGCUGGCGGCGUGCUUAACACAUGCAAGUCGAACGGAAAGGCCCUGCUUUUGUGGGGUGCUCGAGUGGCGAACGGGUGAGUAACACGUGAGUAACCUGCCCUUGACUUUGGGAUAACUUCAGGAAACUGGGGCUAAUACCGGAUAGGAGCUCCUGCUGCAUGGUGGGGGUUGGAAAGUUUCGGCGGUUGGGGAUGGGCUCGCGGCUUAUCAGCUUGUUGGUGGGGUAGUGGCUUACCAAGGCUUUGACGGGUAGCCGGCCUGAGAGGGUGACCGGCCACAUUGGGACUGAGAUACGGCCCAGACUCCUACGGAAGGCAGCAGUGGGGAAUAUUGCACAAUGGGCGGAAGCCUGAUGCAGCAACGCCGCGUGCGGGAUGACGGCCUUCGGGUUGUAAACCGCUUUCGCCUGUGACGAAGCGUGAGUGACGGUAAUGGGUAAAGAAGCACCGGCUAACUACGUG
rnacentral:rRNA from 1 species